CCUACGGGAGGCAGCAGUGGGGAAUAUUGGGCAAUGGGCGCAAGCCUGACCCAGCAACGCCGCGUGAAGGAAGAAGGCUUUCGGGUUGUAAACUUCUUUUCUCAGGGACGAAGCAAGUGACGGUACCUGAGGAAUAAGCCACGGCUAACUACGUGCCAGCAGCCGCGGUAAUACGUAGGUGGCAAGCGUUAUCCGGAUUUAUUGGGUGUAAAGGGCGUGUAGGCGGGGACGCAAGUCAGAUGUGAAAACUCCGGGCUCAACCUGUGGCCUGCAUUUGAAACUGUGUUUCUUGAGUGCUGGAGAGGCAGACGGAAUUCCGGGUGUAGCGGUGAAAUGCGUAGAUAUUAGGAGGAACACCAGUGGCGAAGGCGGACUGAUGGACAGUAACUGACGCUGAGGCGCGAAAGCGUGGGGAGCAAACAGGAUUAGAUACCCGUGUAGUC
rnacentral:rRNA from 1 species